UUACAGGAUGGGUGGCAGUCUCCAAGCUUUCAACUGAGAUAGUUUUCCAUUGGCUAACCACAAGUCUAUAACAGCAUGGAAAGGCUCACAACAUCCUGCUGUCCUGGGAAUCAAUUCAGUUUUUUUCCAUUCACAUUACCCAUUUAGAGACAUCUGAAUAAACAAAACCACACAGAGUUAAUUUGUAGUUCAUUUCUACAGUGGAUGUGGGAAAUGACAAGGAUUACAGAGCAUCUAGUCACUGCACUUGGCCAUUCGAAUGCCACUUGAGAUGAUCUUAUCGUUUGGAAAUGUUACCAAAGCUUUCAUCACAAACAUGACUGUCUAGUGGUAAGUCACUAAUAGCUGGCUACCGGCAACUCCUCAUUCCUGCCAGUAUCUGAGCAGAGAGCAGAAGAGCGCCCAGACCUUUGAACAAUAAACCCUGACAAAUGCCUGUUCAAACAAUGGUCUGGAAGUGACUCAAACUCUCUGUGGUUGGUUGGUGUCCGAGAGCAAACUGCAUGUGACACAAUGGCACUCUGCUGGUCAGCUGGGCUCUGCCCAGAGGCAGUGUCUACUAGACGGUCAUGUCAGUUCACAUCACUGAGGCCCGGGCAAAAGCCCAGAGCGUAUAUCUGUGCUUGUGCUACUUUAGGCGAGCCAGCCGGGGCGACGCAGCAUAGCACAGCCGAGGGCAGACAGGGAAAAGCUCAGGCUCUCUUUAACUGUUGAUGGCGAUUGGGGAGGGGGGUGGGGCGGGUGUGUGCUUAAUCUUUCGAAAUGCUCACUGCUCCACUUGGUAGGAAGCAUGUCAUGUCAGCAGGGGGUUUGUUACAGUUAAUCACACACCAAACCAUAUCUGACUCUUUGUUCUAUGUUCUUUUUAUGCUUUUUCAUUAUCAAAUCCAUGUUAAUAAUACCCACAUCACUGUCUCCGUUAACACCAAAGAAGGCCAGUGAUGAAAAGGACAUCACUGAGGAGGCAAGAGUGAAGCUAUCUGUGAGGAGAGAGUCUCAUUGAAAGGCAGCUCGUGUUUGAAAAUGAGAGUGUGCGUGGAGGGAACAUGAGACGUAAGGAAAUCCUGUAGCCUGGCAUACAGAGAGGCAGAGGCUCAGGGAGGAGGCUGGCGGAGGGACAGGGCUUAGGGAGGGAGCGCAGUGAGGUGUUCUUCUUCUGCGCUCGGAGAAAAGCUGCGUCACGCUGGCUCAUCAGCAGGCCAGCUACCGCUCCCUAGACUGCAGGAGAUCAAUACCAACAAGCUGUGGGGGGAGGAGCUCCAUGGCCAGGUCCUCCAGAUCGGAGUUGAGAAGCGAGUGGCACGCAUAGCCCACGCUAAGCACAGGAGCCCUGCCUUUGUACUCCUGUGUCAGGGCCUGGAGCAGCACCAAGCUGGGGCAACUCCUGAGCACCAGCAUGCAGUCAUCUGCAGGGGACACAGACCAGCAGAGCUCAUCUGACCCACAACACACCGCAACACACAACACCAAACAUGAGGAUUUGUGUGGAAACAAGGGCACAGAAGGUCAGGCCUCUCUUACACAUGGUUAUUGCGGCCUUGCGGUGAAUGCCACAGGCCGAGUAGACCAUCUGGGCCAGCGCCAGGCAGGUGUCAGUGAUUCGGAGCGUCUUGUCGCCAUGGGCACAGAUUACAUCUCCAAGAGCUUCACUAGUCUGUCUUCCCAUUCUUCCCAGUGGCAAGGUGAAGCUUAUUGCCUCAGCAUACCUGUGCUGUGUGACCCAGUGUGUGACCAGCUCCACAAAGUUGUGUUGCAGGGCGCAGCGGACGCUCUCCACGGAGAGGUCUUCCCGG